rnacentral:rRNA from 1 species
CACCUACGGGGCGCAGCAGUAGGGAAUUUUCGUCAAUGGGCGCAAGCCUGAACGAGCAAUGCCGCGUGAACGAGGAAGGUCUUCGGAUCGUAAAGUUCUGUUGAAGGGGAAAAAGAGCGGAGAGAGGAAAUGGUCUCCGAUUGAUAUUACCCUUCGAGGAAGCCACGGCUAACUACGUGCCAGCAGCCGCGGUAAUACGUAGGGGGCGAGCGUUAUCCGGAAUGAUUGGGCGUAAAGGGUGCGUAGGCGGCCUGCUAAGUCUGGAGUGAAAGGUACCGGCUCAACAGGAACAGGCUCUGGAAACG